AGAAUCAACGCUGGCGGCGUGCCUCAGACAUGCAAGUCGAACGCGAAAGUCCCCUUCGGGGGGCAAGUAGAGUGGCGCACGGGUGAGUAACACGUAGGUAAUCUACCUUCGGAUGAGGAAUAACAAUCGGAAACGAUUGCUAAUACCGCAUAAUGCAGCGGCACCUAAUGGUGACAGUUGUUAAAGCGGGGGAUCGAAAGACCUCGCGUCUGAAGAGGAGCCUGCGGCGGAUUAGCUAGUUGGUAAGGUAAUGGCUUACCAAGGCUACGAUCC
rnacentral:rRNA from 1 species